AGUGAACGCUGGCGGCGUGCCUAAUACAUGCAAGUCGAACGAAGUGGCGCACGGGUGAGUAAUAUAUAGUUAAUCUGCCCUACACAGAGGAACAACAGUUGGAAACGACUGCUAAUACCUCAUAGUGCAGGAUGAUACUGUAUCGUAUCAGCUAGUUGGUAAGGUAAUGGCUUACCAAGGCGAUGACGCGUAACUGGUCUGAGAGGAUAAGCAGUAACAUCGGAACUGAGGCACGGUGCGGACACAUUCGGGAAGCGGCAGUAAGGAAUUAUGCGCAAUGGGCGUGACCCUAGCGCAGCAACGCCGCGUGGAGUAUGUCACUCUUCGAGGCGUAAACUCAUUUUAUCAGGAAAGCGGUACCUGAUGAAGAAGCACCGGCUAACUCCGUGCCAGCAGCCGCGGUAAUAC
rnacentral:rRNA from 1 species